AUCAAACCGGGAGAUAGCUGGUUCUCCCCGAAAGCUAUUUAGGUAGCGCCUCGUGAACUCAUCUUCGGGGGUAGAGCACUGUUUCGGCUAGGGGGUCAUCCCGACUUACCAACCCGAUGCAAACUACGAAUACCGAAGAAUGUUAUCACGGGAGACACACGGCGGGUGCUAACGUCCGUCGUGAAGAGGGAAACAACCCAGACCGCCAGCUAAGGUCCCAAAGUCAUGGUUAAGUGGGAAACGAUGUGGGAAGGCACAGACAGCCAGGAUGUUGGCUUAGAAGCAGCCAUCAUUUAAAGAAAGCGUAAUAGCUCACUGGUCGAGUCGGCCUGC
rnacentral:rRNA from 1 species